rnacentral:piRNA from 1 species
UAAUUUUAGUAGUACCAAAGAUGGGCUCAGU